GCACAAAAAGGGAUAUUUUAAGACCUAGGAGUGUUGCGUGUUCCGAGGGGAUUAUUAAGACAGCGAUACAGCGGUAGGGUGUAAAAGGCAAACUGUCAGAGCAGAGAGCGGGAACAAUUGGUAUAGAAAGCAAAUGGAUUAAUGUCGCAGCAAAGAACGCUAACACACCGGACGACCUUAUCACUCUUGAGCAGAGACAUUUAUCACCUUCAUCCAUCUGAUCAACCUACUGCUUUGGUUCUCAAAGUGAAUUAUCUCUGGUCACUAUCAAAAGAAACUUGUGAAGGCGAUGUGUGAAGUGCAAAGGGUGGCCCAGAGGAACAGAAACCCAGGCAGAGAGCUCAUCUGUGGCUGAUUUCUGCCCUCUUUAGCUGAUUCCCUCCAAGAGAGACCAAAUCCAUCAACAACGUCGAAAGUCGCCUACUUCAAGAGGAAAUAUGCGGAAGAGGAGGAUGUACAAAGAGACUUUCAUGGGUAUUUUCAGAGACACCUGAUACUGUCGGAGGACCGCAGCUGCAUCCUCAAACUCUCCCUGGAGAAGCUCCGGUUCCUGGAGGAUCCGGAGGCCUACCUGAGGCGCUCCGUGCUCAUCAACAACCUGCUGCGCAAGAUCCACCAUGAGGAGAAGGAGACGGAGGAGGGCCAGGUGCCGUGCGACAGGGGCCCCGGCCAGAGGCUGCUCUACCCGGACAGAAAGAGGCUGAAGCUGGUGGUGGCGGAGUGCUGCUCCCAGACCUUCGGCUAUGAAGAGAUACAGCACUACCACGUCAUGCCCUAUAGCUCCGCCAGCUACCUUUACAGACUGGGGAGCUACCCCAGCAUCACACCUGACCACAACGCUCGGGUCCUCCUCUACAACCUGGACGAUAACGGGUGACCGAGUUUCUUACUAACUGUACUUGGAAGAAACAGACACACACCUACACACAUUCAAACAAUAUUUGGUCAGAGCUAGAGAAUGCUGUAGUGUGGGCUGCUUUAUUGAGUGCCUGUGCAGGCAG